CGCCCCGGGGGGGACCCCAGAAGCCCGGGCCGCUCCUACUGGCCCGAGCCCGACGGGGUGCGGCGCCUCACGGGGCGGC
rnacentral:tRNA from 1 species